CGGCGAGUGAAGCAGCAAUAGCUCAAAUUUGAAAUCUGGCGUCUUCGGCGUCCGAGUUGUAAUUUGUAGAGGAUGCUUCUGAGUAACCACCGACCUAAGUUCCUUGGAACAGGACGUCAUAGAGGGUGAGAAUCCCGUAUGCGGUCGGAAAGGUGCUCUACACGUAGCUCCUUCGACGAGUCGAGUUGUUUGGGAAUGCAGCUCUAAAUGGGAGGUAAAUUUCUUCUAAAGCUAAAUAUUGGCCAGAGACCGAUAGCGCACAAGUAGAGUGAUCGAAAGAUGAAAAGCACUUUGGAAAGAGAGUUAAAAAGCACGUGAAAUUGUUAAAAGGGAAGGGAUUGCAACCAGACUUGCUCGCGGUGUUCCGCCGGUCUUCUGACCGGUCUACUCGCCGCGUUGCAGGCCAGCAUCGUCUGGUGCCGCUGGAUAAGACUUGAGGAAUGUAGCUCCCUCGGGAGUGUUAUAGCCUCUUGUGAUGCAGCGAGCGCCGGGCGAGGUCCGCGCUUCGGCUAGGAUGCUGGCGUAAUGGUCGUAAUCCGCCCGUCUUGAAACACGGACCAAGGAGUCUAACAUCUAUGCGAGUGUUCGGGUGUCAAACCCCUACGCGUAAUGAAAGUGAACGGAGGUGAGAACCGCAAGGUGCAUCAUCGACCGAUCCUGAUGUCUUCGGAUGGAUUUGAGUAUGAGCAUAGCUGUUGGGACCCGAAAGAUGGUGAACUAUGCCUGAAUAGGGUGAAGCCAGAGGAAACUCUGGUGGAGGCUCGCAGCGGUUCUGACGUGCAAAUCGAUCGUCAAAUUUGGGUAUAGGGGCGAAAGACUAAUCGAACCA
rnacentral:rRNA from 1 species